UACAGAGGGGGCAAGCGUUGUUCGGAAUUACUGGGCGUAAAGGGCGCGUAGGCGGCCUUCUAAGUCGAACGUGAAAUCCCCGGGCUCAACCUGGGAACUGCAUUUGUGACUGCAUGGCUAGAGUACGGCAGAGGGGGAUGGAAUUCCGCGUGUAGCAGUGAAAUGCGUAGAUAUGCGGAGGAACACCGAUGGCGAAGGCAAUCCCCUGGGCCUGUACUGACGCUCAUGCACGAAAGCGUGGGGAGCAAACAGG
rnacentral:rRNA from 1 species